rnacentral:rRNA from 1 species
CCUACGGGAGGCUGCAGUGGGGAAUAUUGCACAAUGGGGGAAACCCUGAUGCAGCGACGCCGCGUGAGUGAAGAAGUAAUUCGGUAUGUAAAGCUCUAUCAGCAGGGAAGAAAAUGAAGGUACCUGAGUAAGAAGCCCCGGCUAACUACGUGCCAGCAGCCGCGGUAAUACGUAGGGGGCAAGCGUUAUCCGGAUUUACUGGGUGUAAAGGGAGCGUAGACGGCAGUGCAAGUCUGGAGGGAAAGGCGGGGGCUCAACCCCCGGACUGCUCUGGAAACUGUACGGCUGGAGUGCAGGAGAGGUAAGUGGAAUUCCUAGUGUAGCGGUGAAAUGCGUAGAUAUUAGGAGGAACACCAGUGGCGAAGGCGGCUUACUGGACUGUAACUGACGUUGAGGCUCGAAAGCGUGGGGAGCAAACAGGAUUAGAUACCCCAGUAGUC